rnacentral:rRNA from 1 species
AUACGUAGGGGGCGAGCGUUGUCCGGAAUUACUGGGCGUAAAGGGUGCGUAGGCGGCAUGUUAAGUUGGAUGUGAAAUACCCGGGCUCAACCUGGGGGGUGCAUUCAAAACUGGCAAGCUAGAGUGCAGGAGAGGGAAGCGGAAUUCCUAGUGUAGCGGUGAAAUGCGUAGAUAUUAGGAGGAACACCAGUGGCGAAGGCGGCUUACUGGACUGUAACUGACGUUGAGGCUCGAAAGCGUGGGGAGC